rnacentral:miRNA from 10 species
UAGGGUGACUAAUCAUCCUGGUUUGCCUGGGACUGAGUGGGGAUUUUGGGAUGCUGGACUUUCCAUUGAAAACUGGGACAGGUUGGUCACCCU